rnacentral:lncRNA from 1 species
GCUUCCCAUACAUAAUGAUCAAGCUGGUUGUCUUUAUUUCUUCUUUAAAUUUCUGAUCUUUCAUCACCGUAGAUAUAUCCCGUAUGAUGGCUUUUCAACAAAUUUGGCUAUUUUCCUGCCUUUUAUUCUGGCUAUGUUCAAGUGCUCAGCUAUGAUCACUUUCAGUUCCAUUGCUUGGAAAACCCUGAUAAUUAGAUUUAAAUCAUAAAAUAUGCUAAUGAAUGCAGAUAGUAGCAGGAUAAAAAUUUCAAAGGCAACUUAAUGUAUUCUUCCCCUCGGCAGAAACAAAACAGAGCCGUUUGGAUAAUAGGCUAUCUGCUGUUGUAAGAUCCAGGGAGGUCACAGAAAAGGAGCCCAAGAACCACCAGGGGCUGUGCCUAAGAACCUAGGGCUGGAUUACUACAUGUGAUAACCAUCACAUGACUGUAUGCUUCCAGAGGGCAAGCAGACUGGCUCACCCACUCCUCGGGAUGCCUGAUGUGCCAGGAGCACCAGGCUGUUCAGCACCUCUCCUUUGAAGUGAUAUUGAUGAGCACCCGGGCUGUGCUGCCUGGCCUGGAAGUUUCUCAGCUCACGCGAAGUGUGAGUGUCUCCAGCAGCGCGGCGGGUGGAGCACGCUGCCUGCACCGGCCUCCUGGAUCUGACGCCGCCUGUGAGUGAGUGCUGCCUCAUUAGGGGUAAUGCCUCUUCUGUCAUGGGUAUUCUACUGGAGGUGCUCCAUCUCCAAAUAUGUUUUUUUCCCAUAUCCACAUGUCAAUCAGCCGCUUGUCUAACGCUAGAAAAUGAUAGUCGGGAGAAUUGAAAUUGCUAACAGUUUUAACACCAAAAUUUAACUAUUCAAGGUUCAGAAUGACGGCAGAAUAAAUAGUGGCUUUCGGAAUUGGGCCGCA